CUCCCCCGCUGAACCCACGCGCCCGAUGCCGCCGAACUCGUGCCCUAACCAGCGUCGUUCGACGAUUUCUUCCCCACCAGCGUACAAAAAACUCGAGCCCAACACUUCUUCUCCAUUCCUCUUUUUCUUCCCUAUCGCGCCGCUCCUCACCGUGCCCUAAUUCUCGAUCGCACUGUCGCGCCCGCGCCUUCUCUACCUGACGAGCCGCACACCCGACGCAGAUCACCGAUUUCCUCCUCCUUAGGUUAUUCGCCUUCUCUGUGUCGACCACCAGGUCCAACCCACCACCGCCCACCACAGGAGACCUAGCGUCGCCUAUUCUUCUCCUCUUCCGAGCGCUGGCAGCCGACCAAGUUCCUUUGCCCUAGUUCUUUACUGUCGCGCCAUCGACGGACCUCAGCCCUAGAUCACCGGCGUUGAUUUUGGGCUCAGAGCACAGAGUAUCAUCAGGGGGCCGUGAACUGAAGGAUGGAUUUCAGCAGGCUUUUGUGUAUUGUGGAUCAACAAACACGACUGUGAAGUUGCUUGUUCUAAUUCCAGCAGCAAACAUCCUUCCGGCAGCGAUCUUUUUGGCUGUGAAUUGAGGACUCUGAUUCGAGAUGAGCAUCUCGAUGUUGGAUUUGACUGGAUUGGACCUGCUA